rnacentral:rRNA from 1 species
AGAGUUUGAUCAUGGCUCAGAUUGAACGCUGGCGGCAUGCCUUACACAUGCAAGUCGAACGGCAGCACGGGGGCAACCCUGGUGGCGAGUGGCGAACGGGUGAGUAAUACAUCGGAACGUGUCCUGUAGUGGGGGAUAGCCCGGCGAAAGCCGGAUUAAUACCGCAUACGAUCUACGGAAGAAAGCGGGGGAUCGCAAGACCUCGCGCUAUAGGGGCGGCCGAUGGCAGAUUAGCUAGUUGGUGGGGUAAAGGCCUACCAAGGCGACGAUCUGUAGCUGGUCUGAGAGGACGACCAGCCACACUGGGACUGAGACACGGCCCAGACUCCUACGGGAGGCAGCAGUGGGGAAUUUUGGACAAUGGGGGAAACCCUGAUCCAGCAAUGCCGCGUGUGUGAAGAAGGCCUUCGGGUUGUAAAGCACUUUUGUCCGGAAAGAAAACCUUCGAGUUAAUACCUUGGGGGGAUGACGGUACCGGAAGAAUAAGCACCGGCUAACUACGUGCCAGCAGCCGCGGUAAUACGUAGGGUGCGAGCGUUAAUCGGAAUUACUGGGCGUAAAGCGUGCGCAGGCGGUUCGUUAAGACAGAUGUGAAAUCCCCGGGCUUAACCUGGGAACUGCAUUUGUGACUGGCGAGCUAGAGUAUGGCAGAGGGGGGUAGAAUUCCACGUAGCAGUGAAAUGCGUAGAGAUGUGGAGGAAUACCGAUGGCGAAGGCAGCCCCCUGGGCCAAUACUGACGCUCAUGCACGAAAGCGUGGGGAGCAAACAGGAUUAGAUACCCUAGUAGUCC